rnacentral:rRNA from 1 species
AAUGUAACCUCAGCUCAGACGGGUCUACCCACUAAGUUUAAGCAUAUCAAUAAACAGAGGAAAAGAAACUAACGAGGAUUCCCCUA